GUGGGGAAUAUUGGGCAAUGGGCGCAAGCCUGACCCAGCAACGCCGCGUGAGGGAAGAAGGCUUUCGGGUUGUAAACCUCUGUCCUUGGUGACGAAAAAAAUGACGGUAGCCAAGGAGGAAGCCCCGGCUAACUACGUGCCAGCAGCCGCGGUAAUACGUAGGGGGCGAGCGUUGUCCGGAAUUACUGGGCGUAAAGGGUGCGUAGGUGGCCUUUUAAGUUGGAUGUGAAAUACCCGGGCUUAACUUGGGGGGUGCAUCCAAAACUGGGAGGCUAGAGUGCAGGAGAGGAAAGCGGAAUUCCUAGUGUAGCGGUGAAAUGCGUAGAUAUUAGGAGGAACACCAGUGGCGAAGGCGGCUUUCUGGACUGUAACUGACACUGAGGCACGAAAGCGUGGGGAGCAAACAGGAUUAGAAACCCUGGUAGUCC
rnacentral:rRNA from 1 species